GACGAACGCUGGCGGCGUGCUUAACACAUGCAAGUCGAACGAUGAUGCCCAGCUUGCUGUGUGGAUUAGUGGCGAACGGGUGAGUAACACGUGAGUAACCUGCCCCUGACUCUGGGAUAAGCGUUGGAAACGACGUCUAAUACUGGAUAUGACUACUGGUCGCAUGGCCUGGUGGUGGAAAGAUUUUUUGGUUGGGGAUGGACUCGCGGCCUAUCAGCUUGUUGGUGAGGUAAUGGCUCACCAAGGCGAUGACGGGUAGCCGGCCUGAGAGGGUAACCGGCCAAACUGGGACUGAGACACGGCCCAGACUCCUACGGGAGGCAGCAGUGGGGAAUAUUGCACAAUGGGCGAAAGCCUGAUGCAGCAACGCCGCGUGAGGGAUGACGGCCUUCGGGUUGUAAACCUCUUUUAGUAGGGAAGAAGCGAAAGUGACGGUACCUGCAGAAAAAGCACCGGCUAACUACGUGCCAGCCGCCGCCGUAA
rnacentral:rRNA from 1 species